rnacentral:snRNA from 1 species
GUACUUGCUUCGGCAGCACAUAUACUAAAAUAGAAACAAUACAGAGAAGGUUAGCAUGGCGUCUGCACAAGGAUGAAAUGCAAAUCUGUGAAGCAUUCCAUAUUUUU